AGUGAACGCUGGCGGUAGGCCUAACACAUGCAAGUCGAACGGCAGCACAGUAAGAGCUUGCUCUUACGGGUGGCGAGUGGCGGACGGGUGAGGAAUACAUCGUAAUCUACUUUUUCGGGGGGGAUAACGUAGGGAAACUUACGCUAAUACCGCAUACGACCUACGGGGGAAAGCAGGGGAUCUUCUGACCUUGCGCGGUUGAAUGAGCCGAUGUCGGGUUAGCUAGUUGGGGGGGUAAAGGCCCACCAAGGCGACGAUCCGUAGCUGGUCUGAGAGGAUGAUCAGCCACACUGGAACUGAGACACGGUCCAGACUCCUACGGGAGGCAGCAGUGGGGAAUAUUGGGCAAUGGGCGCAAGCCUGAUCCAGCCAUACCGCGUGGGUGAAGAAGGCCUUCGGGUUGUAAAGCCCUUUUGUUGGGAAAGAAAAGCAGCAGGUUAAUACCCCGCUGUUCUGACGGUACCCAAAGAAUAAGCACCGGCUAACUUCGUG
rnacentral:rRNA from 1 species